rnacentral:lncRNA from 1 species
GCCAGCAAGAUGGCUUAGCAGGUAAAUGCUACUUAGCAGGUAAAUGGUACUGUCGCCCAGGCCGGGUGGCCUGAGUUUGACACCAGGAACCACAGUGGAAGGAGACUGAUGCCUGAGAGUGGUCCUUUGACUUCUAUAUGGCACACACACGCAUCUGCAUUCACACACAGAUGCUGCAUCCAUGUACACACGCCUGGUUUACACACUGCCCUCACGCACACUGCACUCACGCAUUGCACGCACACUGCACUCACAUCCAUGCUAUACUUAUGCACACUGCACUUAAUACAGUCGUGCACACUGUCCUCACACACUGCGCUCACACACAGCACUCAUGCACACUACAUUCAUACACACUGCAUUUAUACACACACUGUAUUCACACUGUAAUCACACAUACUACAUUCACACACACUGCAUUCACACACACACACGCCAUGCAAUAAUAAUUUAAAAAAAUAAGGUGAAGUCAUUGAAGAUGACAUCCAACCUUAUCCACCUCUAGCUUUGUGUGCAUGCCGACACCCACGUUGUUUUCUGAGAUAGAAUCUCGCUGUGUAGCUCAGGCUAGCCCUGGACCCACUGCCCUACUCUUGAGUGUUGGAGUUGUCUAUUCUUUUUUUCUUCUUCUUCUUUUUCUUUUUUCUAUUUUUCGGAGCUGGGGACCGAACCCAGGACCUUGCGUUUGCUAGGCAAGUGCUUUACCACUGAGCUAAAUCCCCAGCCCUGGAGUUGUCUAUUCUUUAAAAAAAAAAAAA